rnacentral:rRNA from 1 species
ACGGAGGGUGCAAACGUUGCUCGGAAUCAUUGGGCGUAAAGCGCACGUAGGCGGCCUGUUAAGUCGGGUGUGAAAGCCCUCGGCUCAACCGAGGAAGUGCAUUCGAAACUGGCAGGCUUGAGUAUGGAAGAGGGUCGCGGAAUUCCCGGUGUAGAGGUGAAAUUCGUAGAUAUCGGGAGGAACACCAGUGGCGAAGGCGGCGACCUGGGCCAAUACUGACGCUGAGGUGCGAAAGCGUGGGGAGCAAACAGGA